rnacentral:rRNA from 1 species
UACAGAGGGCGCGAGCGUUGUCCGGAAUCAUUGGGCGUAAAGAGCGCGUAGGCGGCCAGAUAAGUCCGGUGUGAAAGUCACAGGCUCAACCUGUGAAUGCCGCUGGAAACUGUCUGGCUAGAGUCCGGGAGGGGCGAGUGGAAUUCCUGGUGUAGCGGUGGAAUGCGCAGAUAUCAGGAAGAACACCGACGGCGAAGGCAGCUCGCUGGGACGGUACUGACGCUGAGGCGCGAAAGCGUGGGGAGCGAACAGG